GACGAACGCUGGCGGCGUGCUUAACACAUGCAAGUCGAACGGUAAGGCCCCAGCUUGCUGGGGUACACGAGUGGCGAACGGGUGAGUAACACGUGGGUGACCUGCCCCGCACUUCGGGAUAAGCCUGGGAAACUGGGUCUAAUACCGGAUAGGACCGCACCGUGAGGGUGUGGUGGAAAGUUUUUCGGUGUGGGAUGGGCCCGCGACCUAUCAGCUUGUUGGUGGGGUAAUGGCCUACCAAGGCGGCGACGGGUAGCCGGCCUGAGAGGGUGGACGGCCACAUUGGGACUGAGACACGGCCCAGACUCCUACGGGAGGCAGCAGUGGGGAAUAUUGCACAAUGGGCGGAAGCCUGAUGCAGCGACGCCGCGUGGGGGAUGACGGCCUUCGGGUUGUAAACUCCUUUCACCAUCGACGAAGGUUUUCUGACGGUAGAUGGAGAAGAAGCACCGGCUAACUACGUG
rnacentral:rRNA from 1 species